rnacentral:rRNA from 1 species
UACGUAGGGGGCAAGCGUUGUCCGGAUUUAUUGGGCGUAAAGAGCGUGUAGGCGGCCAGGGAGGUCCGUUGUGAAAACUCGAGGCUCAACCUCGAGACGCCGAUGGAAACCCCCUGGCUAGAGUCCGGAAGAGGAGAGUGGAAUUCCUGGUGUAGCGGUGAAAUGCGCAGAUAUCAGGAAGAACACCCGUGGCUAAGGCGGCUCUCUAGUACGGUACUGACGCUGAGAUGCGAAAGCGUGGGGAGCGAACAGG